rnacentral:ncRNA from 1 species
UCAAAGGCUGUGAACAAGACUAGUAAUUUUCAAGCGAGGCUGAGAGAGCCGGGCAAGGUGUGAGCCGGUGCUGACGCAGAGGGUGAAUGGACUUGGGAGCCGCAAACCGAACGGAGUUAUCCAAGUAGGCCUUGCCGCAGGGGAAGCGUUAACGUAUCCUAAGGCAUAAAGGGUUCGCCCCAAGUGCCUGUUAAAGAUGGCCGGUAGCUUUAGGGUUACGGCUAAUUAGGGUGGUACCGCGGAAGUGAACCUUCUGCCCCUUUC